GGCCCUUCUACUUGAGUCUUGUGGAAUAAGAGACAAGGUGUACACAAGUGAAACCUGGGUCAUCAGCAUCUGUUUUCUGUGUUUCAGGAACUUGAGUAUCAAAAGUCUCAGCCCCCGCAGCCUGGAGACAAGUUUGUGUCUGUUGUCAGCCAGUUUAUCACCCUGGCGAGCUUCAGCUUCUCAGACGUAGAAGAUCUUCUAGCAGAAGCUAAAGAGCUGUUCACUAAAGCAGUGAAGCACUUUGGGGAAGAGGCUGGCAAAAUCCAGCCAGAUGAGUUCUUUGGGAUCUUUGAUCAGUUUCUUCAGGCUGUGACAGAAGCGAAACAGGAAAAUGAGAACAUGAGGAAAAGGAAGGAGGAGGAGGAGCGGAGGGCUCGCCUGGAAGCUCAGCUCAAAGAGCAGCGGGAGAGGGAGCGGAAGAUGAGGAAGGCCAAGGAGAGCAGUGAAGAGAGUGGCGAGUUUGACGACCUGGUCUCGGCUCUGCGCUCAGGAGAGGUGUUCGACAAAGACCUUUCAAAACUCAAACGGAACCGGAAACGCAUUUCCAACCAGGUGACGGACAGCAGCCGCGAGCGACCAAUCACGAAACUUAAUUUUUAGUUUCCUUGCAUCUUUUUCUAGAAAGCGCCGUAGCAGCCCUUUGGAGUGACUAGAACUUUUCAUUACACUGCCUUUCGAUCCAAAACAGUGGCGAUUUCUUCUCUCAUCUGUGAGUGAAGGUGUGAAUGUGUGUGUAAAUGUAUGUGUAUAUAUGUGAAAAUGUACAUACAAGUCUUAAGUGUUGUCCGGGGACCUAUGUGUAUGCUUAAAAAGUUCAUGUUAAUGUGUGCACCCAGAAACUCUUUGUGUAUGCAUUCAUAUUUCCCUGAACACCAUGCCUGUUCAGAAGCACAAUACUCUCUCCUGAAACAGAUGACAGACAUUCCUUUAAAGGGGGGUGGGGGGAGGAAAGAAGAAGUUAAGAGAAGCUUGUCUUGUGAAGUAUUUUAUGGUUCCCACAGUUGAUGUAGUGAGGCGAUUUUCACUGGUGGAAA
rnacentral:lncRNA from 1 species